GGACUCUGUUUUGAGUCUGGAGUAAAGAGACUGAAAUCCAGCCGACUGUAAAUAUAUUGUGGUGACAGAGCAAUGAUGAGCAUUACUUGGAUUGAUGAGCAGAAAAGACCUCUGCCACUCUGAGAGGUGAUGCAGUUAUCCCUGAGGCAAGACUCCCCUGGAAAAAAAUAAUCAGUCAAUCCAUCAGUGAAUCUCCCUUCAGGAGCACCAGAAAGCUUUGGUCCUGAGACUUUAGGACCAAGAAACUGAAGAGAGGACUUGAUUAUAAGGCUAGUGACCAGAACAAUUGCAA